GUGGGAUUAGCUUAGCUGGUUAAAGCGCCAGAUUGUGGCUCUGGAGACCGUCGGUUCGAGUCCGAUAUUCCACCCCA
rnacentral:tRNA from 1 species